rnacentral:lncRNA from 1 species
AAUCUCAAACCUCCAUAACUUCACCAUCUCUACAAAAUUAGGGUUUUACAACUCGUUCGUUCAUCAAGAAGCUGCUACCAAUUUUCAUCGUUGCAGGCGACAAUGAUUUACGACGUCAACUCUCCGUUGUUCCGUUCCUUCCUUAGCCAGAAAGGAGGCUCAUCUGAUAAGAGGAAAACUGAGGAGCAAAGGCCAAAGGAGCACAAGCCGAAAGCUAAUGAAAACAAACCAGUCAUGAAUGAGUAGUGAUGUUUACUCAACUAAACACAUGUAAGGUGUAGGCUGUUUUUUUUUUUUGCUUUUUUCCCAUGGAUUAUGAUUCGACUGUUAUGAAGUCACUAUCAUCCUUUGACUCUUGUUUCUAUCGAGUAUCCUUAGGUAAAAUGUUGUCGUGUUUGUUUGAAAAAAAUGAAAGCAGAUAAUGAUUUUGCUAAUAAAAACAGAUUUUGAAUGAUUUCUUUUGCUACAAUGGUUUGUGGUUGGUUUAUACUUCAUACGGUUGAUAUGUUAAACAAUGCAGACAUUUUAAUUGCAAGAUAACCAUUGUUUUUGUGGUACUGUUGAUACGACAGCAUAGUGCACGAUUAUCAUCGUCU